UGCAAUUAUUUGAUUGUUAGGACACAUACGUUCACCCGACUUCAAUAGAGGCUAGAUGGUUUCUCCAUUCGGCCGAACAUCACUUCAAAAAACCAGUGGUAGACUGUUUAAUGGUCUGAAUUCAUUCCAGAAAUUCAGUGAUGGUGGCACUGAGUACGGACACAUGUGCAAGCUGAGGCAGAAUCAAUGGCUGGCAGAAGGUCGUCGUUCCAUGUAGCCUCUUGGAUGCUCGACCUCGGCAUGAGUGAUGCCGUCAACCCUGGAAGGCUGAUGCUAGUCGCUGGUCGUUUCCCUGGCUCUGAUCUUCAUCUCUACCAGGCACUGGCCUCUGAGUCUCCACCAUGCCGCCGGAGCAACUAUGAAGUAUUUUUACAGUUCAAGCUGGACAACUAGGAGAAAUUUUUACUGUUCAAGCUGGAGCAACUAUGAGAUUUGAGCAGGGCACGAUGAGCUAUGAAGCUGGAGGAGUGAACAUCCCAAUCAGACCCUGUUGUGAAUGGAGUAAGACUCUAGUCCUGAACUGACCGUGAUGUAGUGAUCUCAAGUGAAGCUGGAAGCUGAGGAAUCCCAUUCGAGUUCGCAAUGCCUCACAGUCCACGCACGUCUAAAGUGUCAACUGUGAAGGGCUCGUACUGAUAAAAUGGUCAGUUCAGCAACAUCCAGCAUCUCAUUUUUUUUGUCACCAUGUUAGUCCGACGCCCCCGAUUCAAUUGUACACUAAUCAUACACGCAAACAUGUACGAUCGAGGUCAGGGACUCACGGGAAGAUAUCACAACACAACUCUAAACACAAAUUGAAAAGAUACAAGCUUCAUAUUUCAAGCCAGGGGCCUCGAGGGCUCGAAUACAAGCUCGAUACACAAGAGUCAGCGGAAGCAACAAUAUCUGAGUACAGACAUAAAUUAAACAAGGAUGCCUUAAGAAGGCUAGCACAAAAGCAACACAAUCGAAGAGGUAAGGCCGCCUGCCUGGGACCUCCUAACUACUCCUGGUCGUCGGCGGUCUCCAAGUAGCAGUAUCCGUCGGCAGUGGCAUCUGACUCCAGGGAUCCACCAUCUGAUUGCAUCAACGCACAAAUAAGAAGGAAGGGGGAAAAGGGGUAGCAAAGCAACAGUGGGUACUCAUCCAAAGUACUCGCAAGCAUCAGAUAUAUACUAAGUAUGCAUUGGUAUCAAAUGGAAGGGUUGUAUCUGUGGACUGAACUGUAGAAUGCCAGAAUAGAGGGGAAGACCUAGCCUAUUGAAGACUAGCAUCUUCAAACAGCUCCAAGCAUUUUGCAGCAUGUGGAAGAGUAAAGAAUAGUAGUUUAUAACUAACAAACAUGUUGUAGCAUUAACGCCCAAGAUCCUUCCUCGACUCCCUACGAGAAAGCAAUCCUGGAGCCACGUAUCCAUCACAAUCUCAAGUAUCCAUUUCUAGUUAUAUAAGAUCCGGAUACAAGUUUGAACAUCCAUAACCGUGGACACGGUAUUCGAAUAUAUAUCUUCCCUGCAGGGGUGCACCACGUUACCCAACACGCUCGAUCACUCUGGCCGGACACACCUUUCUCGGGUCAAUGCCCGGCCUCGGAAGAUCAACACGUCGCAGCCCUACCUAGGCUCAGCAGAGAGGUCCUCGCCGGUCUACAUCCUAAGUGCCCCGGGUCUUGGGCCCGUCGCCCAUUGCACUCCGGGUCGUUGCGAGCAGGGUGGAUACCAGCACCGCCUCGGAUGGCCAGCAUGAUCCGACCGUACCGCAGUGCUGAACUAGACGUCUGACAAAGCUUCGGCUGAUACUGCGACGUCGAGGCCAAUAUCUAUUCUCGCGUGGUGGUUAGUGCGUAAAGGCCAGAGGCCAACUCAGAACAAAUACCCAAACCUGUUAGUGCAUUGGGGGCUCGCGGAGACGAGCAGAGACUCACGAUAAUGUGACCCCGUCGCCCCGUCUCAUGGACUUACGACAAGGGCCCAGACUACCCGGCCGUGCCACGUAGAAAACUCGCGGGUGCUCUACGGGCCCGCCCGACUUUCUCAUCAACUCGCGGGUACCCCUCGGGGCCGACCCGACUUCAACAAUGGUCUCAAGUAAAGUCAAGGUAACCAUGUGUCCAAACAUCAAGGGGAAAACCCGAGGAAUCACCCACGGAGGAUUCCACUCGAUGUAAUCAUCAAGGUGAACGUAAGAGGAUCCACCCUCGAGGUUCACACUUGAGGUGUUGCAUGACAGAGCCGUAUCGGGAAUGGUGAAAGAGGAUCCACCCUCGUCGACCACGACCAAAUAGCUACACUACAGAAUUGUCAUCAGAAGUGCGUUAUGAGGGAUCACCCUCGACACUCGAUAGUAGCUCUGCAGAGUCGACCAACUAAAGGGGCGUGAUGUGAUGUGAGGUGUCAGGCUCUGGUCAUCGAUCACGUUGAUCGAGUCAUCGAUGAUGAAGCAGGGGCAACAAAGACAAGGUGGGGGUCACUUAUGGAUCACUAACCAACCUAUACUAAGCAGUUUAGGAUAAGCAGGUAAGGUACAACAGC